UUCAUUAAGUCAGCUGUUAAGCGAUAGAUACGUAGUUACGGCCGAUUUAUCUUUACGUUACGGCUGACUUAAUACAUACGACUGACUUAAGUGAAAGUGGCUGACUUAAAACUAUAAGUCAGCUUGCCGAUACAACUGAUUUACAGAAAUCCGGCUGAGUUAUGUGAUCACGGCUGACUUAAUGAUACAAAUGACGGCUGACUUAUACAUCGGCGGUUUGAUUUCUGGAAAAUUUGGCUGAGUCGUGGUUAAGAAACGGCUGAGAAACUUUUUUUCAGCUGAGUAAAGGAACAUGGAUGGGCUGGGUUAUUGAAGCCACGGCUGAGUUAUGGGAUGCUGUUACGACUGGGUUUGUAUUAGUCAGCCGUUAAAGCAUGGAUAAACAGUAAACUCAGCUGCUUUGCGGCUGACGUAUGAGCGAAAGAUUAAUUACUAGAAUGUUCUCGUUUGAUGGCUGAUUUACGUAACGAUACGGCUGACAUAUGGUUGUUCAUCCUUAUUGCGGCUGACUUACCGUCAAAAGAUUAAUUACUAGAAUGUUUCCAUGUAUCGGCUGACAAAGUGUAAACAUGAUGGCUGACUUAUUUUGGCUGAGUUACUGAUUUGUUUGUCGGCUGAUUAAUCGAUGUUCCAUGUCAUCUGCCAUGUCAUCAACUCGGAUUUGACAUGUCAUCACUAACGGUCGCCCAAUUUACAACUGAGUUACGAGACCUUUCAGUUGUCUUCUUCAUCUUAUUUUUGAAUGAUUACACAGCCUUUCUUUUCUUCUUCAUCAUCUCAGUUAUCUAUCCUCUUCAUCUUUCUCAUAUGGUAAUGGAUCCCGUUAUUAUUGUUUCCGGUAAAUGGAUUAUGAAAAAACGAUAUGUAUUCAACGUCGACAGUAGAGGGUGUAGAGUUCUUCAUUUAGGUGAGAAAACUAAACUUGAAGAUUUCACAAAGUCUGUCAUCGACGAUUACGGUUUGAAUGAUUUGAAGGUUCAUAUUCUGCUUAGCUACAUGUUUUCGAAUAAAACAUUGAAAACAAUGGCGCACAACACUCCACCAGUUUACGUGUCCAACACUCGACAAUUGCAAUGUUUUCUAAGCUUAAAGAAAAGCGAACAACUACGUCUCUGUGUGGAGAUUACAGAGAAAAAGGAUGACAGCUCAGACGUAGAAGCUUCAGAAGAAGAAGCUUCAGAAGAAGAAGCUUCAGAAGAAGACGCUUCAGAAGAAGAAGCUUUAGAAGAAGAAGCUUUAGAAGUUGAGUCUAUAGAGAAUGGGAGUUACGAUGGUUGCAGUUUGGAGGAUGAACAAGAUGAAAUUGAGAAUGACUGCUUUAGUAACGUUGAAAUACACGACGUAGCCGGAGAAGAUGAAAUAGGCAAAGAAAACGAAGAAGAUGAUGAAUUUGAAAGUCGAUUUGAUAUGUUCGAUGACUCGGACGGUGCGUCAUCUGAAGAUGAUAACUUCAGCACAUACGGUGAGUCUCCUAUCGAAGAAGACGAAGAUUCACCAACGCUACCUUCCAAGAAGAGAUAUCAGAACUUCUUGAUGAGCGAAUCUAAAGGGAAUCUGGAGGUUUUGAAGUUGGAGAUGUCGUCGUUAGACCUUGCGGUAGGACAACGAUACUUGACUAAAAAGCAUUUGAAGAGACGACUGAAACUUUUUACAGUGAGGCAUCAAUUUGAUUUUGAUGUAGAAAUAUCAAACCUGACAACAUACGUUGUUAAGUGUUGGGUUGAUGGAUGUACAUGGAGAGUUCGUGCAUCUACCGAAGGAUUGUCCCCGCAGUUUUAUAUUCGUAUUUACGACUCGGAUCAUGCAUGUUCUGUAACUGAGCGUUCUAAUCGAUCUCGAAAUGCAACACCGGAUAUUUUAGGAGAGUUGUACAAGAACUUUCUCGGCGACGUUGGUCCGGCCGUUCGCCCUGAGAGUGUCGGAAUAGCUAUCACUAAGCAGUUUGGUGUAAAGGUAAUUAUGUUACAACGGCUGAGUUAUGGUAGAGUAUAGGCUGGGUUAUUUUAUGUUAGAAAUGGCUGAGUUACAAAACUAUGGUUGAGUUAUGUUUACGUUGUGACCGUCUUAAUGAUAUGAUGUGGCUGAGUUAUGUAAAUUGUUUUUUCAUGUGAGCAGAUGGAAUAUUGGAAAUCACACCGGACGCUUAAAUGUGCAAGGGAAAUCGAUGAGGGCACACCUGAGUGUGGUUUUGAACUCUUGCCUUCUUACUUAUACAUGAUAAGAAGGGCAAAUCCGAAUACAGUUACGCGUCUUCAAAUCGAUGAGCUUGGAAGAUUCAUGUAUGUGUUUCUUGCGUUUGGUGCGAGCGUUAAUGGGUUUCCUUUCAUGCGCAAAGUUGUUGUCGUCGACGGUACGUUUCUUAAUGGUAAAUAUAAAGGGACGCUACUCACAGCACUAGCUCAGGAUGGUAACUUUCAGAUUUUUCCAAUAGCCUUCGCAGUGGUUGACACUGAAAAUGAUGAUUCGUGGAAUUGGUUUUUUACGCAACUAAAAGUGUUGAUUCCUGACCAGGAGGGUCUUGCGAUAAUAUCAGAUAGGCAUAACUCGAUAGGGAAAGCAAUUACAAAUGUGUAUCCGUUAGCUGCUCGUGGAAUAUGCACCUAUCAUUUGUAUAAAAACAUAUUGGGACGGUACAAAGGAAAAGAUGUAUUUCGGCUGGUGAAGAAAGCGGCGAGAUGUUUUAGAAUGUCUGACUUUGAUAUGAUUUUCGAGGAGAUUGAAGCACUUAAUCCUGAUCUCCACGGCUACCUCGAAAGAGCUGAUGUCAGACUGUGGACACGUGUUUAUUUCCCGGGCGAGAGGUACAAUUUGAUGACUACGAACAUAGCGGAAUCAAUGAACAGAGCAUUAUCGCAUGCUAGAGGUCUUAACAUUGUUCGAAUAUUGGAAUCGAUACGGGUUAUGAUGACCAGAUGGUUUGCUGAACGAAGAGUGGAUGCCAGAUCGCAGUCAACCACACUCACGCGCGGUGUGGAGAAACUAUUACAAGUAAGUCAGUCGUAACAGUAAAAUAAGUCAGUCUUUAAAUCUAAUAAGUCAGUCGUUAUAUUGCAUAAGCCAGCUUUAUAAAUAAUAAGUAAGCCGUUUCACGAAUAUUGGGUUUUGUUAAUAGGGACGUGUAAGUGCCUCCCGGGAUUGGACGGUUCAAAGGAUUGAUGACCAUCACACUGAAGUUAAAUAUGGCGCUGCUGGCGAGUCUUUGAAUGUUGUUAAUUUGGUUGAGCGAAAGUGCACAUGUCGGCGUUUCGAUGUCGAGAAAAUACCAUGUGUACACGCAAUCGCAGCUGCAGAGGAAAGAAAUGUUUCUCGUAUAUCACUGUGCAGUCCUUACUAUAAAAGCACUUAUUUAGCUAGCGCAUACGCUGAAUCGGUCAUGCCGGUUGACUCAGCGCUACCUGUUCCAGAUAACGUGGCUAACGUACAGUGCUUUCCACCGUUUAUUCGUCAACAACCGGGAAGACCUAAAAAAAAUAGGAUGAAAUCUGCUUUAGAAGUUGCACUUGCAAACAAACGUCCUAGGAAAGAGCACAUAUGUUCUCGUUGCAGUCAAAGUGGACAUAAUGCGAGAACUUGUCCGAUAUAAGCAAUUGCUUUUCAUGUUGUUUUGUAAUACGGCUGGGUUUUGUGUUGUAAUACGGCUGGGUUUUGUGUUGUAAUACGGCUGGGUUUUAUUUUCAUUGAUUUGCACAACGGCUGGAUUAUUAAUUGUAAUACGGCUGGGUUUUGUGUUGUAAUACGGCUGGGUUUUUUUGUUUUAAUGUUCUAUGACGGCUGCGUUAAUGUUUUUCAAAUUUUGUAUUGUGGUUGGGUUUUUAUUUUCAUUGAUUUGCCCGCUUCCCAUUACUCAAGAGAGACACAGACAUCGAAAAACGAAAUGUCCGUACUUAAUUGCCCUACGUUACGUAAUAGCCCCUACGUAAUUAUUGAUUAUAAAGUGGAAUACGAAAGUAGCGAAUUAAAUUAAGAGAAAUUAAUCUUCAUUGGCUGAGAUAAUGUUACUCACACGCCUAAUAAUUGUCGUGAUUUCUAAUGUCAGCUCUUUUAUUCAAACGCAGUUGAAAAAAACUUCCCCGCUAGAAACACGAAACGUCGCGAAGUCAACUAAGGCUGAGUUAUUGUAAUACACGGCUGAGUUAUGGAUUAAAUUCCCGCUCAAAAUAAGAAAUAAGAAACGCCGCGAUACGAAACUACAACCGUUAACUGCAGAUAAAUAAGGUACUUCUCAAACAAUUACACAUCUUCAACUCUCUAUCUUUUACACAACUGUCCUCUCAGAGAAAAUGGAAUAUUUCCCUCUGCUUGAAUUGCCUGAAGAUCUUCAGGCAAUGGUGGUUGAACGUGUGGCCCGUAACUCCUUCCAAGAUCUCUACCGCCUCAGAGCAUCGUCCAGGUCGAUGAAGGCGUUAGCAGAGAUGCGUAGGGUAUACCAUUAUUUCGAUGUGUUAUCCUUUCCCUGGGGUCUCAUUAUGCCAUCUCAGUUGUUGAAAACUUGCUACGCUGAGAACAAUCCAAGCACAAUUUAUGUAAAGGGUGUACAGUUUUUCUACUCAUACGAUGAGCAAGAUUAUGGCCUUUCUCUCCUCAAGCGUGCAGCAGAUGCAGGAUAUGAGCGUGCAGUGUAUACACACGCUAUGACUCAAGCAAUCUUUUACGGUGAUGCGCAGUAUUUUCGGAGAAUUCCAAGAGCAACUGUUGACAGGGUCGGGAAACUUGUUCGAGAUGCGAAAUGGGGAUGGGGUUUGUGGCAUACUGACGAGUUCCGUCAAAUUAAGGCCAUGUUCACUUCUACUUAUGUUCCGUCCUUCUACCUUUGCCAAUGUGCAAAUGUUGUGGACCGACAAUGUCUCUGCCUAUGGCACAUUGAUGUGACUAAGGACGACAACAUGUGUGAGCGCUGUUUCUGGAUCAAAGAGAUUUCCUUGUUCUUUCGUGAUUUUGAACCGAUAAGCCUGUUUAGGGACACAAGUAAGUGGUGAAGAUGUCUCUGCAUCAGAAUCUUAUCUUUUUUAUGUUUUUUGCUAUGCCAUUAUGUAUGUCGAACAAAAAAUUAUAUAUUCUGUUUUUAUGGCUGACUUAUUUUCUUAUGGCUGAGUUAUUUUCAUCUUAUGGCUGACUUAUUUUCAUCUUAUGGCUGAGUUAUUUUCAUCUUAUGGCUGACUUAUUUUCAUCUUACGGCUGAGUUAUUUUCAUCUUACGGCUGAGUUAUUCUCAUUUAUUCAUCUUAUGACUGUUUUUUGAUUGUUCACCUAAACGUUAAGACUGAUAUUAUUACAUGUUACGGCUGAGUUGUUGUUUCGGAAGAAAUUAACAACGGCUGAGUUAAAUCCGAGUUACAUAAACAUAGACUGACUUAUGAGUACAGAAUCUGAGUAAACAAAGAAGUAGUAGUAGCAACUAAUACAUUUAAGACUUCAUCCUAAGACAUUCAAUAAUUUUUAUGAUCUCAGUUAUGUCUUUCUUCAUAUCAUCUAAUUCUGCUUUUAUAGCGGCCAAAUCCUGCUCUAUCGUCGCGAGUUUGUUUGCCACAACUACAAACUCUUCAUCAUGUGCUUCAUCAAGCCAUUUGAAAACAUGGUUUUGACCCGAAUUUGCUCCACAUCGAUAAAAUCUUCUACCCGGAUUCUUUAUUGUACCUGACGUUAACACAAUGGUAGCAGCUCCACAGUCGCACGUCCUUGGAAUUCCACGCUGUAGAUCCAUCUAAUUUAUACAUCAUAGCACACAAAAAAUAAUGCAAAAUCGAACAAGGCCAAAAUACAAAAAAUAAUUCAAAAUCGAUUUUGGACGAAAGAGACUUACUUUAGGUUUUAGAAGUCGACUCUGGUUUUUCCUUUAUCUUUUACUUGUAAAUAUUGGAAAUAUAAUAGGGAAAUCAUAUUAAAUAUAAAGAUCACGCGUGUCCAAAUAAAAUAAACAUAUAAUGACCUCGAUAUCGUAAAUUACUCGGACAUGCGUGUCAGGACAUAACUCGACACUGAGUUAAAUUAUGUAUGACUCUUUUGGCCAACUUUUAUUUUUCGACAUCAUUAAAUAUUAACAAUUUUACGACUGAGGUUUAGUUUUCGGUAUUAUUAAUUAUUAACAAUGUUACGGCUGAGUUUUAUUCUUCGGCAUUAUUAAUUAUUAACAAUGUUACGGCUGAGUUAUAUUUUCCGGCAUUAUUUACUUUACACAAGGCAAAAAAAAGAAAUCAUUUUCGUCCCAACGCGAAAAAAAAAGAAAAGCUCUCGACGACAGGCGAUUUCGAAGCGUCUCGAUACGAAGGUAAAACCGAAGCCUCUCUUUUGCAGAUUUGUGGAUUCAGCUUAGGUUCGAUGAUGUUUUCUUCCCAUUCUUUUCUUGUUUGCAGAUGCCUAAUUCGCACAAACCUCAUUUCUUGAAGCCUCUGCUUCCCGAUUUCCACAGUGGCGUGGUAGACACACACUCUCUAUUUCUCAUGUGUAUAUGUUCCUAUUUUAGAGUUUGCUUAACUUUGGCUUUUCUGACCUGCAGACAAUACCACUUGGCUUCUUCUCACAGCACAUAGAAGGGAAGACAAACCGGAAAACAUGGAAACUAAGAUCGGACGCUACAGAUCAAACUUGGGAAGUGAUACAAGAAGGCAGGAGACUCACCGGAGGUUGGAAAGAUUUCACCACAGCACAUGACCUUCAAAUCGGUGACAUUGUCAUCUUCAAACACGAAGGAGAUAUGGUGUUUCAUGUCACACCAUUUGGUCCUAGCUGUUGUGAGAUUCAGUAUACACAUCCUCACAUCAUCAAGGAAGAAGCCGAUGCGGAUGAUGCUCCUUCUUUCUCAUUUGACUAUUGUUUUCAGGCUGAGGUCACUGCUUCGAAUCUAAAAGAAGACAAACUUUAUCUUCCUGAGGGAGCUACGACUUGUACUGCUUUGAACAAACAAUGCCAAGAGAUAAUACUUGUCAACAAAGAGGGAAAUUCAUGGACUGUGAGUUUGCGAUUUAGCGAAGCAGACGGCAUGUAUUACAUCAGAAGAGGCUGGAGAAAGUUCUGUCGUGCUAACAGAUGCGCCAUAGGAGACUUAUUUGUGUUCAAUGUGGUUGGAGAUGGGAAAACUACUCCACUAAUGUGUGUAUGUCCGGAAAGGGAAGAGUGAUUUUGAACCUAAACUUAUGUAUGUCGAACCAGAAAUUUAUGUAUGUCUCUUUUUAUGGCUGACUAAUAUUCAUAUUAUGGUUGAGUUAUUGUUUAUGUUAUUGUUUGAUUAUGACUGACUUCCACUGAACGUUAUAGCUGAGUUACUAUCUUAUUAUGACUGACGAAUACUCAUAUAAUGGCUGGGUUAUUGUUUGAUUAUGACUUAAUUAACGUAACGGCUGAGAUGCAGUGAACGUUAUAACUGAGUUAUUAAAACAUUAUGACUGACGAAUACUCAUAUUAUGGCUGGGUUAUUGUUUGAUAGUGACUUAAUUAACGUAACGGCUGAAUUGCAGUGAACGUUAUAACUGAGUUAUUAAAACGUUAUGACUGACGAAUACUCGUAUUAUGGCUGGGUUAUUGUUUGAUUAUGAAUUAAUUAACGUACUGGCUGAGUUGCAUUGAACGUAAUAGCUGAGUUACUAAAAACAUUGCGUCUAAAUUAUGAUUACAACACAUGACUACGCAAAGAAAUAGUGCCAAAAUAUGGCCAUACCAAACCCACAAACCACCACUGGAAACAUCAAACACUUCAUCUUUUCCGCUUUACCGAGUUCUUUCUCCAACCGACCAACGUCUACUCUCAGAUCUGAUAUGCCUUUGGUCAUGUCACUCAUCACCGAUUUCAUAUCUUCUACCUCUUCCACCAAGCACUCGUCCGCCCAUUUGAAUAAAUGUCUCUGAUUUCACCAACAUGCCCAGCUCUUAGUAUCACAUUGACAGUAUAAUGAAUAAAAUUAAAAAUCAAACCUUAAUAUAUCCUUUGCGACAGCAAUAGUACAGUCUUCCUGGAUUAGCCCGUGAUGCAGAUGUACAUAAUUCAGCGGGUUCACCACACCAACACUGUUUCGGCGUUCCUCUUUCCACAUGCCGGCGGUGAAAGUAAGUGUUACCAGACACAGAUGAUGAAGAAGACAUUUUCUUUGAAUGAAAGAGAAAUUGGUGUGAAAGACAAAGUUAAAACAAUAGUGGUAGUAAUAUAAAAUCAUUUUUUUUUAAAAAUUCAAAUAAAGAGGAAUAAUUUAAAUUAAUAAACUAUUAAAUGCCUCGAUAUUAGGUUUGAGCCGUAUUUUUCCACACACGUGAUGCACUUUAAUUAUGACGAAUACUCAAUCAAAUCAAGAAAUACGAAAGGUUCUUUAUUAUUUUAUCAAACACUUAAGUUGAAUUCGUAUUACGGCUGUGUUAGCGUCUAUAUUUUGGCUGAGUUAACGUAGACGUAUUGACUGAGUUACAUUAAAAAUAACAAUACCUCGAUUAUGUAAAUAAUCCGAUACAUGCGUGCCAGCCGUAUAAUAAUGAGUCUCGAUAUUCUCAAUGCAAACGAAAUUUCUCAUGCACAUAAUAAUAAGAGAAUAAAGGUCUCUAAUAAUAGUAGUCUCGAUAAUGUAAUGACGGCCAUAAUAAUGAGUCUCGAUAUUCUCAAUGACGAUGGAAUUUCUCGCACGUAUAAUAAUAAGAGAAUAAAGGACUCUAAUACUGGUCUCGAUUAAGUAAUGGCGGCCAUAAUAAUACAUUGAAAAUAGCGUUAACUAUGGCUUUGUAUUUUUACAAUAU